rnacentral:rRNA from 1 species
AUGAACGCUGGCGGCGUGCCUCAUACAUGCAAGUCGAGCGAACAGACGAGGAGCUUGCUCCUCUGACGUUAGCGGCGGACGGGUGAGUAACACGUGGAUAACCUACCUAUAAGACUGGGAUAACUUCGGGAAACCGGAGCUAAUACCGGAUAAUAUAUUGAACCGCAUGGUUCAAUAGUGAAAGGCGGUUUUGCUGUCACUUAUAGAUGGAUCCGCGCCGCAUUAGCUAGUUGGUAAGGUAACGGCUUACCAAGGCAACGAUGCGUAGCCGACCUGAGAGGGUGAUCGGCCACACUGGAACUGAGACACGGUCCAGACUCCUACGGGAGGCAGCAGUAGGGAAUCUUCCGCAAUGGGCGAAAGCCUGACGGAGCAACGCCGCGUGAGUGAUGAAGGUCUUCGGAUCGUAAAACUCUGUUAUUAGGGAAGAACAAAUGUGUAAGUAACUAUGCACGUCUUGACGGUACCUAAUCAGAAAGCCACGGCUAACUACGUG